AUCGAACGCUGGCGGCAGGCCUAAUACAUGCAAGUCGAACGAGUGGCGGACGGGUGAGUAAUGUCUGGGAAACUGCCCGACGGAGGGGGAAAACUACUGGAAACGGUAGCUAAUACCGCUAACCACCGGUUGGGCCCUGAUGGGAUGAGCUAGUAGGGGGGGUAACGGCUCACCUAGGCGACGAUCCCUAGCUGGGCUGAGAGGAUGAACAGCCACACUGGAACUGAGACACGGUCCAGACUCCUACGGGAGGCAGCAGUGGGGAAUAUUGGACAAUGGACGAAAGCCUGAUGCAGCAACGCCGCGUGUGUGAAGAAGGCCUUCGGAUUGUAAAGUACUUUCGGCGGGGAGGCGUUACCCACAGAGAAAGCACCGGCUAACUCCGUGCCAGCAGCCGCGGUAAUAC
rnacentral:rRNA from 1 species